CGCGUUAAAUCGACCGCCUGGGGAGUACGGCCGCAAGGUUAAAACUCAAAUGAAUUGACGGGGGCCCGCACAAGCGGUGGAGCAUGUGGUUUAAUUCGAUGCAACGCGAAGAACCUUACCUACUCUUGACAUCCAGAGAACUUUCCAGAGAUGGAUUGGUGCCUUCGGGAACUCUGAGACAGGUGCUGCAUGGCUGUCGUCAGCUCGUGUUGUGAAAUGUUGGGUUAAGUCCCGCAACGAGCGCAACCCUUAUCCUUUGUUGCCAGCGGUUCGGCCGGGAACUCAAAGGAGACUGCCAGUGAUAAACUGGAGGAAGGUGGGGAUGACGUCAAGUCAUCAUGGCCCUUACGAGUAGGGCUACACACGUGCUACAAUGGCAUAUACAAAGAGAAGCGACCUCGCGAGAGCAAGCGGACCUCAUAAAGUAUGUCGUAGUCCGGAUUGGAGUCUGCAACUCGACUCCAUGAAGUCGGAAUCGCUAGUAAUCGUAGAUCAGAAUGCUACGGUGAAUACGUUCCCGGGCCUUGUACACACCGCCCGUCACACCAUGGGAGUGGGUUGCAAAAGAAGUAGGUAGCUUAACCUUCGGGAGGGCGCUUACCACUUUGUGAUUCAUGACUGGGGUG
rnacentral:rRNA from 1 species